UCCUAACCACUAAUGAAGUGUGUUCUUCCAGAAGAUAUCACAGCAAAAAAAGCAGCUCGUUGUGGUAAAUACCAUCCCUGGCAAAACACUGGAAAGCUUAAUGUAUCUGAAAGUGUGCAGCAAUUUAAAAUCAAGUUAGGAGUUAAUCAAAUAACAUCAGCUUUGUCUCAUUUCAGUGGUGGAACAAGCACUAAAUUGUGGAUUUUAAACAAACACGAGCAGGUUGUUGUGGCCUUGGCUGUCAGAGUGUGGGGGUUUGUUGGCCAUAAUUCCUCUUCCAAGCCGAAAAAAAGCACUCACGUAAGUCAGCUCAGAUGGUUCUUCCUUUCCCUCCUUUUUCACAACUUAUUUUUGGGUGCUAAAGUUGUCACUACCGGUUGGAUGGGACAACACAGGCUUGGCGUUUUCCUCCUGCUGUGGUAGAAGAAGUAAUUUCCAUCAUUUUUUUCUUGCUGGGAUUUGCCUGGAAAAUUAAAUAUCUGUGGCAGCUGGUGAAGGAAAGGUUUGGGAAGG
rnacentral:lncRNA from 1 species